GCACAGCCCUGCGACGGGGAAGUGUUGCGGCGCCCAACGUUGCGUCGGCUGCACAGUGCGGGCCCGGGCACCCAUCCAGUAGUACGUUCACAUUUUGGUCGGACGAACCUCACUAUCGACUCGAGCGAGCUUGUUUUCUUCCCCUCCACGCCCUGAUAGAUAAAAUACUGUACUAAAGAACUUACGAGAGUUUAUUCAACAUUUUUAGAUUUUUCGGAUAACUACUCAGCCGUUUUCUUUUAUUUUAUUACACGUUUUUCGUAUUUUAUUUUACCAACCGAGUUAAUAAAAAUUUCGGGAUUUUUUUUUAAUAAACCUAGAUGGAAUUUUCGGUAGGAGUAGAGCCAGAAUUUGGUAAGACGUGGGUAAAGAUUUUGCAGUCGGUCUAUCGCGCACUUCGUUGUUUCGCGAGUGGAUUUUUUUAAGUAUUUUUUUUUAGAAUUAUUAAAGGCUUUUUUUGGGGCGUAAUGAAUAAUGAGAUUUUUUUUUCUAGUUCAGAUCAGUAGUAGAGAUUUAUGACAGUAAUUUAUUGAGUAAUAAAUCCGGAGAUUAAAUCGCGGCUGAUAAUUUUAAAAAUAGAAUUGUUGGACUUAAUAUUAGAUCUGAUGAUUUUAAUUUUAAAUUUGAAUUUUAUAUUUUAAUUAAAGGUAAAAUAAAUUUAGCUUUAAUUUAAAAAUCCUGAGUGUGUUAUUUAGAUUUAAUGUCUUUUAUUGCCGAAAAUGAGAUAUAUUUAACGUUAAAGAUAAAAAGAGAGGGAUUUAAAUAAUAGUAGAGAAGGGGGAGAUUGAGGAUAGACAGACAAAAACGACAGUACCGCGCGGAGAAAUUGAAUGUCACAGUGUCAGCACGGAAAUCUAUAAAUUCCCACGAGAAUUAAUUAAUUUUUUUUAUUGCUAUUUUCAUUUCAUUUAUUACGGUUAUUGAUACAUACAUACAUACGAAUGAGUGUAUGUAUGUUUUAGUUUUUUUUUUUCGGUAAAUUGAAAACACGGUAGCAUAAAUUUAAUAAAAUAAACAAUAUGAAACUUAAAAAUGAGUUUUUCGUUGAAUUUUGUGCUCAGUUACACAAUUUUAUAUCUAAAAAUGUACACGAUAAACGAGCUGGGACAGCGGUUGCGCGAGUGGCGAAAAUAUCGGGGCAGCGGUUGCCGACUGAAAAGGACAAAGAUGAGUCACAUAGCCGAGAGGUACCCACGAUAUUGUUUUAUUUCAUUUUUUUUAUUUAGUUUAUUUAUUUAUUUAGUAAUUUAAUAAUGCUAUUGACUAACUAACGUCGUUACUGAAUUAUAUUUGUACAAAAAUACCGCGGCGGUUUAUUUUAUGAAAUAAAUAUUUAAAAAUAGCUGUCUAUUUUAAAAAAAUAAGAACCAUUUGUUCGUCUCAAGUCGUUCGUUAGAGAUCGCCGCGAGUGUUAUGUAAAGUAUGAGAGAAGAAACAGUUUAGUUUUUAAAUUACUUCGAUUUGAAUUGCUUGGCCAUUUAUUUAAUCGGAUAUGCCGGCGUUGAUUGCCUUCGACAAUUGUGACAGAUCAAGUGUAGUGUGAUUGAAGACACGUGAAUUACAUAAAUGGUCAUCGGACACUCGACUUAGUACAGUUGACAGUGAAUCAAUCAUUCAAGAGUGUCUGGUGUAACGUCUGCGAUACAUCUCUAUCUGUGUGUCAGUAAUGAUCCAAUAUAAUGUCAAGAGCUGUGAUAAAAUGUAUUCGACGGUAUCUCUUCAUCGCACUUCACUCUAUGCAUGAAAAUCUACCAGAGACAGCAUUAUAAUAUCUUACUGCAAUGCUGAUGGAAACAAAUACGCCGGCGAACAGAAGUUUGCUCUGAAAAUAGUUGUUAAUAAGCGGCUGAGAAUUAUAGCUCUGUAAUUCGCAUAUCAAAGAGGUAACAUUAACAGUCUAAUUCAUCCCUAGAGCACUUUAACGAUGCUACCAGCUAGCACUACAUCUCGGAGCCUUGUUCUUCCUCCUUCUCGGUCGCAUGUGACUCCUCUAGCUCUACUGUUGAGGUGUACGGGCUCUUCUCCAUUACUUUUACAUACAUUUAUAUGCCAAAGUUAGUUUUCAGCCGGUAUACCUCACCACGAGGUAAACGCCCAGUAGAGACUUAUACAGCUACCACACCAGCCACUGCUCCGGGGAAUAUAUGUAUAUAUAUAUGUAUAUAUACGCGAGAUUUUUGUCAGCAAACAAUCUGCAUAGUUUUACAUAUAUCUAAAGGCCGUCUAGUUAAACGUAUUAUCAAAAUCGUUUUCAUCUAUUCACGCUCUACAUUAUACUUGUUAUUAAGUGUUGCUACAAUUAUGCGCUGUAAAAAAUUACCGGUGGAGAAAAUGGCUCCCGAAAAUUUAUACAAUUAUCUUUUUUAUAUAAUUCAAUUUAC
rnacentral:lncRNA from 1 species